rnacentral:rRNA from 1 species
AGAGUUUGAUCCUGGCUCAGGAUGAACGCUAGCUACAGGCUUAACACAUGCAAGUCGAGGGGCAGCAUGGUCUUAGCUUGCUAAGGCUGAUGGCGACCGGCGCACGGGUGAGUAACACGUAUCCAACCUGCCGUCUACUCUUGGCCAGCCUUCUGAAAGGAAGAUUAAUCCAGGAUGGCAUCAUGAGUUCACAUGUCCGCAUGAUUAAAGGUAUUUUCCGGUAGACGAUGGGGAUGCGUUCCAUUAGAUAGUAGGCGGGGUAACGGCCCACCUAGUCAACGAUGGAUAGGGGUUCUGAGAGGAAGGUCCCCCACAUUGGAACUGAGACACGGUCCAAACUCCUACGGGAGGCAGCAGUGAGGAAUAUUGGUCAAUGGGCGAUGGCCUGAACCAGCCAAGUAGCGUGAAGGAUGACUGCCCUAUGGGUUGUAAACUUCUUUUAUAAAGGAAUAAAGUCGGGUAUGCAUACCCGUUUGCAUGUACUUUAUGAAUAAGGAUCGGCUAACUCCGUGCCAGCAGCCGCGGUAAUACGGAGGAUCCGAGCGUUAUCCGGAUUUAUUGGGUUUAAAGGGAGCGUAGAUGGAUGUUUAAGUCAGUUGUGAAAGUUUGCGGCUCAACCGUAAAAUUGCAGUUGAUACUGGAUGUCUUGAGUGCAGUUGAGGCAGGCGGAAUUCGUGGUGUAGCGGUGAAAUGCUUAGAUAUCACGAAGAACUCCGAUUGCGAAGGCAGCCUGCUAAGCUGCAACUGACAUUGAGGCUCGAAAGUGUGGGUAUCAAACAGGAUUAGAUACCCUGGUAGUCCACACGGUAAACGAUGAAUACUCGCUGUUUGCGAUAUACGGCAAGCGGCCAAGCGAAAGCGUUAAGUAUUCCACCUGGGGAGUACGCCGGCAACGGUGAAACUCAAAGGAAUUGACGGGGG